ensembl:lncRNA novel transcript, antisense to C2orf81
GAGGAGAGGCCUCUAGACUGGCCGUCCGCUUCCUCUACAGGACCUCCGGGCCCUGCCUCCUGAAACAGCUCUGAUGUGGGAGGAGGGGCCGACGUGACUCUCAGCUGCGGAGAAGGCUCCCAAGAUUCCAUCUGCUCCUGGGAGCCUCGACCCAUCCACGACCUUCCUAAAGGGAUCCGGUCCACGCCCCCAGGGUCCUGGGGAAAUGCACUCGGGCAGUGAGAUGUCGGAAAGGGGAGAGCAGGAGCAAUGGCAGAGGAGUCCGGAGAGGCUCCUGAGGAGUGUACUUCGCCUUGGAAGUUCUCCAGGCCCUCCGAGGUGGACGCGUGCAGCACGGGCACUGAACCCUGAGCCCAGGAGUCCGUCGUGCAUGCCGAAGGCUCCUCGUCCUCACCCCAUGUGGGGUCCUCAGCUACUGCAGAUUCUCCCUCGUCCCGGGCCAGGAAGCGCCACUCGGUGAUCUGCAGCAUGGCCUCCCGGGCCUGGCUGAUGGUGAAUGGAAUGCACUGCGGAGGCGAGAGAGGAUCUCAGGUCGGCAGGGAGGGGCGGGAGAGGGAGACGAGUCUGAAGGACCCGGAUCCCGGCCCACCUGCUGAGUCAGGUAGACUUUGAAAGCAGAGUCCAUGACUCGAGCCAGCAAGUCGGCCAAGAUGUCCCCUACGACGUCCUCGCCCUCCUCGAGGGCUGUAAGCGCCAUCCACUCGGCCUCACUGAGCCGCCCAGGCACAAUAUCCACCUGCGGCACUGGCACAGUGGGCGGCCGCACUUUUUCCGCCUUGGACCGGGUCACCCCGCGGUCUCGGACCUGCCUCUCCUGCCUCUGUGAGAACAAAACAUGGCAAUCAGAGCAGGAAACCAAGAAGUGGAACGGAAGAGUAGCUAUAGGCUAGGAGGAAGCUUUCUCAAGUUGUCUAGUGGGAAGGAAAAGGGCCAAUUGACGAAGAGCCUACUAUGUGACAGAUACUUAGUAGAUGUUUGACCUAAUAAUUUUCAUUAACAGCCCACUAACCACAAUUGACAGAUAAAGAAACUGAAGUGGGGAGGCUGAGGAAGGAGAGUCACUUGAACCCGGGAGAUGGAGGUUGCAGUGAGCAGAGACUGCGCCACUGCACCCCAGCCUGGCGACAGAGCAAGACUGCGUCUCAAAAAAAAAAAAAAAAAAAAAAAAGAAAAAGAAAAAGAAAGAAAAAAGAAACCGAAGUCUGACAGAAGUUAACCAGCCUUGCUUAGGAGCACACAGUGAGCAAGCCCAGACAAUGUGAAGGUUUAACUUCAUGGCCCUUAUACCAGAGCAAAGUGUUCAAAAUUCUUGAGUGUUCAAAUUACUUGAGAAAGACAAUUCAGUAAACAGUCCUGGAAU